rnacentral:rRNA from 1 species
AGCGAACGCUGGCGGCAGGCUUAACACAUGCAAGUCGAACGGGCACUUCGGUGCUAGUGGCAGACGGGUGAGUAACGCGUGGGAACGUGCCUUUCGGUUCGGAAUAAUCCAGGGAAACUUGGACUAAUACCGGAUACGCCCUUCGGGGGAAAGAUUUAUCGCCGAAAGAUCGGCCCGCGUCUGAUUAGCUAGUUGGUGAGGUAAAGGCUCACCAAGGCGACGAUCAGUAGCUGGUCUGAGAGGAUGAUCAGCCACACUGGGACUGAGACACGGCCCAGACUCCUACGGGAGGCAGCAGUGGGGAAUAUUGGACAAUGGGCGAAAGCCUGAUCCAGCCAUGCCGCGUGAGUGAUGAAGGCCUUAGGGUUGUAAAGCUCUUUUGUCCGGGAAGAUAAUGACUGUACCGGAAGAAUAAGCCCCGGCUAACUUCGUGCCAGCAGCCGCCGUAAAAC